rfam:Hordeum vulgare subsp. vulgare, WGS project CAJW01000000 data, contig: morex_contig_1579387
CAUGUACUCCCUCCGUCCUGAAAUUCUUGACUUAGAUUUGUCUAGGUAUGAAUAUAUCUAGUCACGUUUUGGUAUUUAGAUACAUCCAUUUGUAGACAAAUUUAAGAAAAAAAAUUCGGAACGGAGGGAGUAGUAU